CGGAAUAUAUUAGUAAUCUUAAGCAAAAAGUCCAAUGAAAGGAAUUUGAUUCAUGGAAAUUGCAUUUGUACCUUUAAUUGUUUUUCGUAUUGCUGAGCUAGGAUUGUAGCAUACUUUUCUGGUUUGUACAAAAGGCUUGAUGGAUAGAACUGAGGCAUCAAGUAGUUGUUGAUGUAAUCGUUGUUACCCAUUCCAACAAUGUAUAUACAUUUGCUUAGAUACUCUUUGGUUAAAGUCUUAUUAUUUUCAAGCAAAGUAGACAUGUGGGAAAUUGUCUCUUUGUGAUUUCUCAAUUGCCUAUUCAAGCUGAUUCUAUCUCCAUGAAAAUCCAGAAAAAAAGUAAAGAAAGAGAUUCAAGUUAAUUUAGCCUAGGGUCAAUCCAGAGUAAAGCGCAUUGUCUUCAAUCUCCCUAAAAAUCCAAAAUAAAGUACUAUGAAAACCAAAAUGAGUUCUUUAAUAUUUUUCUUGGAGUUAUCAUGGGCAUCGAAAAUCUACUAACGGGCAAAAAGAAUGUGAACUGUCCUUUGGUUAUUCUUCUUAAUUACUUUAACAAAUUUUUGUAUAAGUGGUUAGUUUAGCCUAAUUAUCAAGAAUUAUUUAUGGUCACCAUGUGCCAAACUCCCUAUAGUGGGUAGUUUGGCAAUAUAGUAACCGAAAAUAAUUCUUUGUGACGUGUUUUUUUGUGGAGUAAACUUGAAAAUAAAGAGGUUUCAACCUUCAAGCUGAUGUUUGUUUCUGACAUUGCGAACAAAAUUAUAUUAGCUGGAACUCUUUUCUUUUUUCUUUUAACCAAAACUGGAACUCUUUUCUAAGUAAAAAUUUUAGUUAAGUGGAACUCUUUUCUAAAUGCUAUAGAUCGUGUUUAACAGCAGCUUGAAGUUUGCCUCUAUCAAAAACAAAAAAAAAAAAAAAGAGAUCAAGUCUCAUGCAAACGCCAACAAGAACGAGAUUUAGAUUGUAUCACACCCCGAGAAGAAAAGAAAGUUUAGCGUGAACUCCAACGUACGAUUCUAGUCUUACUACAUAAGGUCAUAAGCUUAUUAUAUAUAAAAAUCUCUCCAUAACAAUCUAGUUUAUUUUAAAUAUUUUUAGAUAUUAUAGUGAAGUGUUAGGUAUAUAAAACAUAUGUUAUAAUAUAACAUGAAAAUUAGUGCCAGAAAAGCUUGGCUUUUAUAGUAAAGGAUUGUUAUAUAGGAUGUUAUUUGUUAUUUGUCCUUAAUCUAAUUGCAAAUGCUCUUCUAGUCAAGGGAUAUAUGUUGAAGUAUUUUACCAAAUGUAUUCCCGACUCAUCACGAAUUCCAGCAGCACCAGAUGCAUAGUUCACCCCUCUAAACAUCUCCACACCUUUCACUGUUGCAAAUGGCUCAAUAUACUUAUCAAAACCCAAUAAAUCCGCUGCAAAUAUAGGAAAUAUAUUAGUAGGGAUUCACCAAUAGUUUAGAAAUAUUCCACUGCUAAAUGUUACUUUGGUUAAUCAUUUCUACGAAAAUGCCCCAUAAUUAUAGUACGAUAUAUAUACUUAGAGACUCAAGGAAACUAUGACUUUUGUACCCUUACUAUAAAAUGCAGCUAAGAGAGUUUCUUAGAGGGUAUUUGGAUUGGCUUUUAAGCUGGUCAAAUCAGCUUUUAAGCUCUUUUUAGCUUUUUUUGGUGUUUGACAAAGUCAAAAAAUACUUAAAAAGAGUUAAAAUCUGCUUAAAACAAAUCAAAAGCAAUAAGUUGGGCAACCCUAACUUAUUAGUAUUUUUUUAACUUAAAAGUUAUUUCUGCCGAAAACCCAUUUUUUGAAGCCAAUCCAAAAGGGCUCUUAUUUGUAUAACUAUUCUCGAUGGAAUGUUCUUAUAUAGUGCUAACAAUUUAAUAAUUCGAAUGAAAGACGAUAUAACUAUAUGAGUCUAUUUUAGACAUUUUAUCCAUAUAGUUAGCCCAUUACUAACAGGUAAUAUGCAUCAUGCAAUAUUGUUAGAGCGUAUUCUAAGAUAAUUAAACCAAACUAGCAUUUCAAUGAAG
rnacentral:lncRNA from 1 species